rnacentral:SRP_RNA from 1 species
CCGUGCUAGACGGGGAGUUAGCGGUGCCCUGAACCUGCAAUCCGCUAGAGCAGGGUUGAAUGCCUAUUUGAGGUCUUAUCUCUUCAAGGUCUGACUGAAAUAAGUGGCGAUGAAGAUUGGGUCCUAUGCAGCAAAGAAUUACCAAUCCCGUCAGGUCCGGAAGGAAGCAGCGGUAAGUAAACCUCUUUGGGUGCCGUAGGGAAGCCUGGUUGGAGCUAACUGUUUCAAUAUCGCUUGGGGAGGUAGAUCGAGAAUGGGGCACGG